ACUCCUACGGGAGGCAGCAGUGGGGAAUAUUGCACAAUGGGGGGAACCCUGAUGCAGCCAUGCCGCGUGUGUGAAGAAGGCCUUCGGGUUGUAAAGCACUUUCAGUUGUGAGGAAAGGGAUGUAGUUAAUACCUGCAUUCUGUGACGUUAGCAACAGAAGAAGCACCGGCUAACUCCGUGCCAGCAGCCGCGGUAAUACGGAGGGUGCGAGCGUUAAUCGGAAUUACUGGGCGUAAAGCGUGCGUAGGCGGUUAUAUAAGCUAGAUGUGAAAGCCCGGGGCUUAACCUCGGAACUGCAUUUAGAACUGUAUGACUAGAGUUUUGUAGAGGGUGGUGGAAUUUCCAGUGUAGCGGUGAAAUGCGUAGAGAUUGGAAGGAACAUCAGUGGCGAAGGCGGCCACCUGGACAAAAACUGACGCUGAGGCACGAAAGCGUGGGUAGCAAACAGGAUUAGAUACCCUGGUAGGAUAG
rnacentral:rRNA from 1 species